CCAUUUUACUACUUGACUACUCAAAUAAUGAUAAUUAUUGUGAUUUCUUUUUCUUUUGAACAAUUGUGAAUUAGAUUUUCCUGGAGCAGUUAUUUGUUAUAAAAUAUAAUAAUUAAUUACUUGAUUAGUUAUCAAUUUAAUGAUUAUUGAUUAGAACUUGUGUAGUUGUGUAUGCAACGUGAACAAUUUUCAAUUUUUCUCAAUUUCUCUUCUUGUGAAGUGUGAUAAUGGAUACUACUGUUGUGUGUUGAUAGCAGAUCGAGAUCAUUUUUAGAACUUUGAACUUUCAGUAACCAUUAUUAUUAUUACUAGACUCAAAACUUUUAUAUAACGUGUGUGUGCAAUGGGAUACUUUUCAAUUUGUCUCACUUCUUAUGGUGUGUUGAUAUGAAAGAUUAGCUGAUACAUUCUUCAAUUUACAUUGAAGCUCACUUCUUAUUAUAUUACAGAUUUGGGCACUGUUUCUGUUUGUUUAGCUACCUACAGCCUGUAGCUUCAAUUUCCAGUUCGUCAUCAAUCUGUCUACUGAAAGUACUCAACUGAAACUUCAGAGUAUUGAAAGAUUAGCUGAUACGUUUAUCAGUUUGCAUUGAAGCUCACUGCUCAUUACAUUUUAGAUUUGGGCACUGUUCAGCUACCUACAGUUAGUAGCUUCAAUUUCCAGAUUGUCAUUAAUCUGUCUGUACAAAAGGUCGUGUAAAUUGCACGUUAAAUUAUUACCUGUGGCCGUGUUUUAAAAACACGUUAAUUGUUUUCUUGGUAUCCAUAAAAGGCCGUGUGUAUUUCCGCACGUAAAACUUUCCUUGGUCGUGCAUUGCACGUUAAAACAUUUCAUACAUUAUUUUGUAUCAAUUUCAUUGAUAUAUUGGUCAUGUAUUAGUACAUGUUAAAUUGAAUGCGAUUUAUUUUAUUACUUUUAUAGUAAUAAUAAAUUUGAAACCUUGAUAUUUUCAUUUUGACCAAUUUCAUUGAUAGAUUGGUCAUGUAUUAGUACAUGUUGAAUUGAAUAAGAUUUAUUUUAUUACUUUUAUAGUAAUAAUAAAUUUGAAACCUUGAUAUUUUCAUUUUGAUUGUUGUUGUUGAAUUGAAUAAAUUUAAAGCGUUGA